UACGAAGGGGGCUAGCGUUGCUCGGAAUCACUGGGCGUAAAGGGCGCGUAGGCGGCGUUUUAAGUCAGGGGUGAAAUCCCGAGGCUCAACCUCGGAACUGCCUUUGAUACUGGAGAUCUUGAGUUCGGAAGAGGUUGGUGGAACAGCUAGUGUAGAGGUGAAAUUCGUAGAUAUUAGCUAGAACACCAGUGGCGAAGGCGGCCAACUGGUCCGAUACUGACGCUGAGGUGCGAAAGCGUGGGGAGCAAACAGG
rnacentral:rRNA from 1 species